CUUAGAUAUUUAAUCUUCUACCUCUUAUUACCUGACGACCCUGCUUGCUCAACGGAUUUUGUAUCUGCUUAAACGACUGACCACGGCUAUUCUCACUCGGACCGGACUCGCGCACAAAAAAAUUGAGAAAAUGGGCAAAAGAGAAACCCUACUCGGAAUUUGAGAGGCAACUGCUCGUACAGUUGGUGCAGUAAUUUAAUAACUCUAACGUGUCACAUACUCUGGUACUGAUCAUGACAAUAAUAAUGAAAGCUGGAGACCAAAGAGGGCAAGAGCGUCCACUAUAGAUGCCACAUUUAAAUAUGUAAAUCAGCCGGGAACAAGCCACAACUGGACUGAAGAAGCUGGGUUGACGGAAACCAGUGUUGAAGUCACCACUAAAAGUGAAUCAGCAAGCAGAAAAGUAAACCUUCAUUUGAGGACCUUAAAAAAAAUUGCUGUGGCAAGAGUUGGACAACAACAAAAGAAAAUAUGAGAUAGAAA